UAAACUAAGAUAAUUAACUCACCAAACUAUCCGCCAGAGAACUAUAAGUAACCCAAGCCUUAAACUCAAAGGACUUGACGGUGCCCCAUACCAACCUAGAGGAGCCUGUCCUAUAAUCGAUAAUCCACGCUAUACCCCACCUCUUUUUGCAAACCUACAGCCUAUAUACCGCCGUCCAGUCUACCUUAUGAAAGCAAACUAAGCGGACAAAAUAGUCUAUCACUAAAACGCCAGGUCAAGGUGUAGCUAACAAAGAGGUAGCGAUGGGCUACAUUUUCUCAAUAACAGAAAACUACCGUCAGCAACAUGAAAUAAAAACUAAAAGGUGGAUUUAGCAGUAAACAGGGCAAGAUACGCCCAUUUGAAACU
rnacentral:rRNA from 1 species